rnacentral:tRNA from 1 species
AGCGAAGAGGCGCAGUGGGAGCAUGCAGGGCUCAUAACCCUGAGGUCGUUGGAUCGAAACCGACCUUCGCUA